rnacentral:rRNA from 1 species
AGUGAACGCUGGCGGUAGGCCUAACACAUGCAAGUCGAACGGCAGCACAGUAAGAGCUUGCUCUUACGGGUGGCGAGUGGCGGACGGGUGAGGAAUACACCGGAAUCUACUUUUUCGUGGGGGAUAACGUAGGGAAACUUACGCUAAUACCGCAUACGACCUACGGGUGAAAGCAGGGGAUCUUCGGACCUUGCGCGAUUGAAUGAGCCGAUGUCGGAUUAGCUAGUUGGCGGGGUAAAGGCCCACCAAGGCGACGAUCCGUAGCUGGUCUGAGAGGAUGAUCAGCCACACUGGAACUGAGACACGGUCCAGACUCCUACGGGAGGCAGCAGUGGGGAAUAUUGGACAAUGGGCGCAAGCCUGAUCCAGCCAUACCGCGUGGGUGAAGAAGGCCCUCGGGUUGUAAAGCCCUUUUGUUGGGAAAGAAAAGCAGCAGGUUAAUACCCCGCUGUUCUGACGGUACCCAAAGAAUAAGCACCGGCUAACUUCGUG